GACGAACGCUGGCGGCGUGCUUAACACAUGCAAGUCGAACGGUAAGGCCCUUCGGGGUACACGAGUGGCGAACGGGUGAGUAACACGUGGGUGAUCUGCCCUGCACUUCGGGAUAAGCCUGGGAAACUGGGUCUAAUACCGGAUAGGACUCCGGACUGCAUGGUCUGGGGUGGACAGCUUUUGCGGUGUGGGAUGGGCCCGCGGCCUAUCAGCUUGUUGGUGGGGUGAGGGCCUACCAAGGCGACGACGGGUAGCCGGCCUGAGAGGGUGACCGGCCACACUGGGACUGAGAUACGGCCCAGACUCCUACGGGAGGCAGCAGUGGGGAAUAUUGCACAAUGGGCGCAAGCCUGAUGCAGCGACGCCGCGUGAGGGAUGACGGCCUUCGGGUUGUAAACCUCUUUCAGCAUCGACGAAGCGAAAGUGACGGUAGGUGCAGAAGAAGGACCGGCCAACUACGUGCCAGCAGCCGCCGUAA
rnacentral:rRNA from 1 species